GAUGAACGCUGGCGGCGUGCCUAAUACAUGCAAGUCGAGCGAACAGACGAGGAGCUUGCUCCUUUGACGUUAGCGGCGGACGGGUGAGUAACACGUGGGUAACCUACCUAUAAGACUGGGAUAACUUCGGGAAACCGGAGCUAAUACCGGAUAAUAUUUCGAACCGCAUGGUUCGAUAGUGAAAGAUGGCUUUGCUGUCACUUAUAGAUGGACCUGCGCCGUAUUAGCUAGUUGGUAAGGUAACGGCUUACCAAGGCAACGAUGCGUAGACGACCUGAGAGGGUGAUCGGCCACACUGGAACUGAGACACGGUCCAGACUCCUACGGGAGGGAGCAGUAGGGAAUCUUCCGCAAUGGGCGAAAGCCUGACGGAGCAACGCCGCGUGAGUGAUGAAGGUCUUCGGAUCGUAAAACUCUGUUAUUAGGGAAGAACAAACGUGUAAGUAACUGUGCACGUCUUGACGGUACCUAAUCAGAAAGCCACGGCUAACUACGUG
rnacentral:rRNA from 1 species